AACGAACGCUGGCGGCAUGCCUAACACAUGCAAGUCGAACGAGAACUCCGUGCUUAGUUGCGCUUGCGUGUGUAACGCGGGGGAAGCUUCCCGUAUGUAUCGAACACUUCUCUUUAGGGGGUGCUAAUACCGGAUAAUGUCCUCUGACCAAAGAUUUAUCGCCUUUGGAUGGGCCCGGGUUGGAUUAGCCUGUUGGUAGUGUAAUAGCCUAUCACGGCGUCGAUCGAUAGCUGGGUGGAGAGGAUGAUCAGCCACACUGGGAAUCAGACACGGCCGAGAAUCCUACGGAAAGGAGCAGUGGGGAAUAUUGGACAAUGGGCGAAAGCCUGAACCAGCAAUGCCGCGUGAGUGAUGAAGGCCUUAGGGUUGUAAAGCUCUUUUACACGGGAUGAUAAUGACGGUACCGGGAGAAUAAGCACCGGCUAACUCCGUG
rnacentral:rRNA from 1 species